rnacentral:rRNA from 1 species
GAACCGCACAAACGUUAUUCGGGAAUCACUGGGGCUUAAAGGGUGCGUAGGCGGCGCUGUAAGUUGGAUGUGAAAUCCCACAGCUCAACUGUGGAACUGCGUUCAAUACUGCAGUGCUUGAGGGAGAUAGAGGAGAGCGGAACUACGGGUGGAGCGGUGAAAUGCGUUGAUAUCCGUAGGAACACCGGUGGCGAAAGCGGCUCUCUGGGUCUCUUCUGACGCUGAGGCACGAAAGCUAGGGUAGCGAACGGGAUUAGAUACCCCGGUAGUCCUAGCUGUAAACGAUGAGCACUGGGUUGGGGAGGUUCCCAUGCCUUCCUGGCCGAACUGAAAAAGUUAAGUGCUCCGCCUGGGGAGUAUGGUCGCAAGGCUG